rnacentral:snRNA from 1 species
UCUGGUUUUUCUUCAGAUUGUAUAAGUCUUUUGCCUUUU